GCAAACUUGGUCAUUUAGAGGAAGUAAAAGUCGUAACAAGGUCUCCGUUGGUGAACCAGCGGAGGGAUCAUUACCGAGUUCCAGCAACUCCCAACCCUUGCGAACCGUACCCCAGUUUGUUCUCGUUGCUUCCUGGCGGGACGCGGCGGGGGGGCCUUUUUCCCCCCCGCGGCACCCAAAUGCCCCUCUGCGGGGCGCCCCGCCAGGGGCGGCGAGCCGCCUGAACUUUUUUUCUUACCCAGCACACGAGGCCUGUCUGAGCAAAGCACACAAUGAAUCAAAACUUUCAACAACGGAUCUCUUGGUUCUGGCAUCGAUGAAGAACGCAGC
rnacentral:misc_RNA from 1 species